rnacentral:rRNA from 1 species
AUUGAACGCUAGCGGGACGCUUUACACAUGCAAGUCGAACGAGUGGCGGACGGGUGAGUAAUAUAUCGGAACGUGCCCAGUAGCGGGGGAUAACUACUCGAAACAGUGGCUAAUACCGCAUACCAUUGGCAGGGCCGAUAUUGGGUUCGCUAGGUGGUGGGGUAAAGGCCCACCAAGGCAACGAUCCGUAGCUGGUUUGAGAGGAAGACCAGCCACACUGGAACGGAGACACGGCCCAGACUCCUACGGGAGGCAGCAGUGGGGAAUUUUGUACAAUGGGGGAAACCCUGAUCCAGCCAUCCCGCGUGUAUGAGAAGGCCUUCGGGUUGUAAAGUACUUUUGGCAGGGAAGCGGUAUCUGCAGAAUAAGCACCGGCUAACUACGUGCCAGCAGCCGCGGUAAUUC